UCCUGGUUUCCCAGGCAGUCCCACCAGAGUGCCUUGCUUUCGCAGUUGCAACUGACAGAAGGGGUUGCGCUCGUUAGAGGACUUAACCCAACAUCUCACGACACGAGCUGACGACAGCCAUGCAGCACCUGUGUAAAUGUCCAAACCGAAGCUUGGAAGACUGUAUUUCUACAGCGGUCAUAUACAUGUCAAACCUAGGUAAGGUUCCUCGCGUAGUGUCGAAUUAAACCACAUGUUCCACCGCUUGUGCGAGCCCCCGUCAAUUCCUUUGGGUUUUAAUCUUGCGACCGUAGUCCCCAGGCGGAUCACUUAACGCGUUAGCUACGACACUGAUUUUGUUAAACAAAACCAACGUCUAGUGAUCAUCGUUUACAGCGUGGACUAC
rnacentral:misc_RNA from 1 species